rnacentral:rRNA from 1 species
AGUGAACGCUGGCGGUAGGCCUAACACAUGCAAGUCGAACGGCAGCACAGUAAGAGCUUGCUCUUACGGGUGGCGAGUGGCGGACGGGUGAGGAAUACAUCGGAAUCUACUUUUUCGUGGGGGAUAACGUAGGGAAACUUACGCUAAUACCGCAUACGACCUACGGGUGAAAGCAGGGGAUCUUCGGACCUUGCGCUAUUGAAUGAGCCGAUGUCGGAUUAGCUAGUUGGCGGGGUAAAGGCCCACCAAGGCGACGAUCCGUAGCUGGUCUGAGAGGAUGAUCAGCCACACUGGAACUGAGACACGGUCCAGACUCCUACGGGAGGCAGCAGUGGGGAAUAUUGGACAAUGGGCGCAAGCCUGAUCCAGCCAUACCGCGUGGGUGAAGAAGGCCUUCGGGCUGUAAAGCCCUUUUGUUGGGAAAGAAAAGCAGCAGGUUAAUACCCCGCUGUUCUGACGGUACCCAAAGAAUAGGCACCGGCUAACUUCGUG